CAUUCCCUGGCUCUGGGGGGUUUGGGAAGUGCCCAUUCCCUGGCUCUGGGAGGUUUGGGAAGUGCCCCAUUCCCUGGCUCUGGGAGGUUUGGGAAGUGCCCCAUUCCCUGGCUCUGGGAGGUUUGGGAAGUGCCCCAUUCCCUGACUCUGGGAGGUUUGGGAAGUGCCCCAUUCCCUGGCUCUGGGAGGUUUGGGAAGUGCCUCAUUCCCUGGCUCUGGGAGGUUUGGGAAGUGCCCAUUCCCUGGCUCUGGGAGGUUUGGGAAGUGCCUCAUUCCCUCUGGGGGUGGUAAAUAAUUCAGAUUAUAAUCUCUUUAUAAUUUAAUGAUCCAAUAUAGAUGAUGAUAUUGCUGAGGAAACAGGGAUUGCAGGGGGAGAGAACCCCUUGCUGGCAGAAAAUCAAUGUAUGGGGGGGAGUGGAUUUCAUGGAAUAACUUCCAGAAUAAUUUCCAACAACUCUUACUGAAAGCACACCACUCACACGGGAGGUUUUCUUAAUUCCUUGCCUGUUUUUCACCCCCUUUUGUCACUUUAUUGCCUAUUUUGGAUGUAAAACCACUCUUUAAUCUGCAUUUCCCUUCAUCUGCAUGGAGGUAAAGACCUUCUUUUUUUAAAAAAAAUAAUCAUUUCCUGCCGUCCCACCAAAAACAACCCAAAAAUGAAAGAUCCACAGCUUUGAUCCAAGCUCUGGAAUGUCCCCUGGAUGUUGGAAAGCCAAUGUGGAUCCUCUCCAAGUCCUUGUGAGCCAAAGGAGCCAGAGGCUCGCUGAUGGUUUUAUAUUCCCUGGAUUCCCUGUUUCUCUGGGCUGGGCUGGAAUUCCCAGGGAAGCUGUGGCUGCCCCUGGAUCCCUGGAAGUGCCCAAUCCCGAGGUUGUUGGAGCAACCUGGGAUAGUGGGAGGUGUCAGGGUUGGAACUGGAUGAGCUUUGAUGCCCCUUCCCAGCCCAAACCAUUCCUGUUUCCCUGUGUGGGGUCAGUUUGGAGCGGGAAUUCCGGCUGUUUCCGUGGAGAUGCUGAACUGCAGCUCUGCCUGUGGUUUUAUCUGCAGUGAAAAGGCAGCCAGGAGUUCUUCCUCCAUUGGAGGGGGAGAUUUUGGGGGUUCUGAAGGCGUUUUUUUUACUUUUAAAAAUCUGGGAACCCACUGGGAAGUUUUGUCUCCAGCAGUUUUUUUGCAAAGUGAUCCCUUCAAUGAGAAAAACGUGGAAUUUUAAGAUCUAGGAGAAGGUGAAGGGGUUUUUAUUGUGGUUGGUUGAAGGGGAGGGAUCAUCUCUGAGAGCAGGUAAAGGUUGGAAAGGACAGGUCAGGGUUGGGAAGGACAGGUCAGGGUUGGAAAUGAGAAGGUCAGGGUUGGAAAGGACAGGUCAGGGUUGGGAAUGAGCAGGUCAGGGUUGGGAAUGAGCAGGGCAGGGUUGGGAAUGAGCAGGUCAGGGUUGGGAAUGAGCAGGGCAGGGUUGGGAAUGAGCAGGCUGAGAUUGGGGAAGGGUGUGGAGCACAAUUCCCAUGAGGAGAGGCUGAGGGAGCUGGGGGGGCUCAGCCUGGACAGGAGGAGGCUCAGGGGAGACCUCAUCCCUCUGCACAACUCCCUGCCAGGAGGGGGGAGCCGGCUGGGAUGGGGCUCUGCUCCCAGGAAGCAGCAGCAGGACAAGAGGGCUGGACCUCCAGCUGGGCCAGGGGAGGUUCAGGUGGGAUGUGGGGAAGGGAUUCUUUCCCUGGAGAGUGCUCAGCCCUUGGAAUGGGCUGCCCAGGGAGGGGGUGGAUUCCCUGUCCCUGGAGGUGUUUCAGGACAGGCUGGAUGUGGCAUCAGCGCCAUGGGCUGGGAACCACGGCGGGCUUGGAGCCAGGGUUUGACUGAA